rnacentral:rRNA from 1 species
GACGUAGGGUGCGAGCGUUGUCCGGAUUUAUUGGGCGUAAAGAGCUCGUAGGCGGCUCGUCGCGUCGGCUGUGAAAACCCGCGGCUUAACUGUGGGCUUGCAGCUGAUACGGGCGGGCUAGAGUUCGGUAGGGGAGACUGGAAUUCCUGGUGUAGCGGUGGAAUGCGCAGAUAUCAGGAGGAACACCGGUGGCGAAGGCGGGUCUCUGGGCCGAUACUGACGCUGAGGAGCGAAAGCGUGGGGAGCGAACAGG